ensembl:snRNA Rnu6-1015 RNA, U6 small nuclear 1015
CUGCACUUAUUUCAGAAGCAGAUAUACUAAUAUUAGAACAAUAAAGAGAAUAUUAUUAUGGCCCAGGUGCAAGGAUGGCACAAAUUCAUAAAUCAAAGUAUAUUUUG